UCUCCGUUGGUGAACCAGCGGAGGGAUCAUUACCGAGUUUACAACUCCCAAACCCCAAUGUGAACGUUACCAAUCUGUUGCCUCGGCGGGAUUCUCUUGCCCCGGGCGCGUCGCAGCCCCGGAUCCCAUGGCGCCCGCCGGAGGACCAACUCCAAACUCUUUUUUUCUCUCCGUCGCGGCUCCCGUCGCGGCUCUGUUUUAUUUUUGCUCUGAGCCUUUCUCGGCGACCCUAGCGGGCGUCUCGAAAAUGAAUCAAAACUUUCAACAACGGAUCUCUUGGUUCUGGCAUCGAUGAAGAACGCAGCGAAAUGCGAUAAGUAAUGUGAAUUGCAGAAUUCAGUGAAUCAUCGAAUCUUUGAACGCACAUUGCGCCCGCCAGUAUUCUGGCGGGCAUGCCUGUCCGAGCGUCAUUUCAACCCUCGAACCCCUCCGGGGGGUCGGCGUUGGGGAUCGGCCCCUCACCGGGCCGCCCCCGAAAUACAGUGGCGGUCUCGCCGCAGCCUCUCCUGCGCAGUAGUUUGCACACUCGCACCGGGAGCGCGGCGCGGCCACAGCCGUAAAACACCCCAAACUUCUGAAAUGUGACCUCGGAUCAGGUAGGAAACUCCCA
rnacentral:rRNA from 1 species